AUUGAACGCUGGCGGCAGGCCUAACACAUGCAAGUCGGGCGAGGGGCAGACGGGUGAAUAAUGUAUGGGGAUCUGCCUGAUGGCGGGGGAUAACUACUGGAAACGGUAGCUAAUACCGCAUACCAGCAGAUGAACCAACAUGGGAUUAGCUGUUAGGUAAGGGAACGGCUUACAUAGGCGACGAGCCCUAGCUGGUCGGAGAGGAUGAUCAGCCACACUGGAACUGAGACACGGCCCAGACUCCUACGGGAGGCAGCAGUGGGGAAUAUUGCACAAUGGGCGCAAGCCUGAUGCAGCCAUGCCGCGUGUGUGAAGAAGGCCUUCGGGGUGUAAAGUACUGUUAGUCGGGAGGCGUUACCGACAGAGGAAGCACCGGCUAACUCCGUGCCAGCCGCCGCGGUAAUUC
rnacentral:rRNA from 1 species